GAUGAGAACGUAGCGAAAUGCGAUAAGUAAUGCGAAUUGCAGAUCUCCGUGAGUCAUUGAAUCUUUGAACGCACAUUGCGCCCUCGGGUAUUCCCGAGGGCAUGCCUGUCCGAGCGUCAUUAUCCAACCAUCAAGCUCGGCUUGCGGUUGAGCCCCGCACCGUCCCCGGGACGGUGGGCUCGAAACAUGUUGGGCGCCCGUGAGGUUGUCGGUGCAGCGAGCUCUCGAGCACGUGCCGGGCAACCGCUCUGGGCGUCGGCCAGCCCCCCCAUUUUCUCAGGUUGACCUCGGAUCAGGUAGGAAUACCCGCUGAACUUAAGCAUAUCAAUAAGCGGAGGA
rnacentral:misc_RNA from 1 species